rnacentral:rRNA from 1 species
AGUGAACGCUGGCGGUAGGCCUAACACAUGCAAGUCGAACGGCAGCACAGUAAGAGCUUGCUCUUACGGGUGGCGAGUGGCGGACGGGUGAGGAAUACAUCGGAAUCUACUUUUUCGUGGGGGAUAACGUAGGGAAAGUUACGCUAAUACCGCAUACGAUCUACGGGUGGAAGCAGGGGAUCUUCGGACCUUGCGCGAUUGAAUGAGCCGAUGUCGGAUUAGCUAGUUGGCGGGGUAAAGGCCCACCAAGGCGACGAUCCGUAGCUGGCCUGAGAGGAUGAUCGGCCACACUGGAACUGAGACACGGUCCAGACUCCUACGGGAGGCAGCAGUAGGGAAUAUUGGGCAAUGGGCGGAAGCCUGAUCCAGCCAUACCGCGUGGGUGAAGAAGGCCUUCGGGUUGUAAAGCCCUUUUGUUGGGAAAGAAAAGCAGCAGGUUAAUACGCCGCUGUUCUGACGGUACCCAAAGAAUAAGCACCGGCUAACUUCGUG